GAUCAUGGCUCAGAUUGAACGCUCGCGGCAGGCCUAACACAUGCAAGUCGAGCGGAUGAAGAGAGCUUGCUCUCUGAUUCAGCGGCGGACGGGUGAGUAAUGCCUAGGAAUCUGCCUGAUAGUGGGGGACAACGUUUCGAAAGGAACGCUAAUACCGCAUACGUCCUACGGGAGAAAGCAGGGGACCUUCGGGCCUUGCGCUAUCAGAUGAGCCUAGGUCGGAUUAGGU
rnacentral:rRNA from 1 species